AAUUAGCAUACCAAUGAAUUUAAAGAUUCUUUAAAGAUUCUUUAAAGAGUCUUAUUUUGUGAUGAAAAUUUAAUAUGUAAAUCUCAGACGAUAGAAAUUAAAAACUCUGUCGUCUUUUUU
rnacentral:sRNA from 1 species